rnacentral:misc_RNA from 1 species
GGAACAUUGAGAAGUGUACCCCAUCGGUCUCUGAGGAGUACUAGUACAGAUUUUGGUGGGCUGCAUUUUAAGCAUCAGCUUCGGUGGAGUUUUGUUGGUGGCUCACAACUUGUGUGCCUGCCUAGAGUCGCUCGUACGGUCUGCUGCCACAGAAAAGGGUCCACUCUUUCAGCUUGUUUGUUUCCUGUAGGGCUCACAAGUUCUCAAAUUGCUAACAGUGCUUUUACGUGGGGAACGGUUACUGUCCUUCCGUUCUAC